rnacentral:rRNA from 1 species
GAGAUAGUGACAAUAAAUAACAAUAUAGGGCUCUUAUGGGUCUUAUAAUUGGAAUGAGUACAAUUUAAAUCCCUUAACGAGGAUCAAUUGGAGGGCAAGUCUGGUGCCAGCAGCCGCGGUAAUUCCAGCUCCAAUAGCGUAUAUUAAAGUUGUUGCCGUUAAAAAGCUCGUAGUCGAACUUCGGCCUUUGCCGCCCGGUCCGCCUAUUUGGGUGUGUACUGGAGCGGUGGAGGCUUACCUCGUGGUGAGCAAUCAUACCCUUUAUUGGGCGUGGUUGGGAACCAUGAUUUUUACUUUGAAAAAAUUAGAGUGUUCAAAGCAGGCUUAUGCCCGAAUACAUUAGCAUGGAAUAAUAAAAUAGGACGUGCGGUUCUAUUUUGUUGGUUUCUAGGAUCGCCGUAAUGAUUAAUAGGGAUAGUUGGGGGCAUUCGUAUUCAAUUGCUAGAGGUGAAAUUCUUGGAUUUAUUGAAGACGAACUACUGCGAAAGCAUUUGCCAAGGAUGUUUUCAUUGAUCAAGAACGAAGGUUAGGGGAUCGAAAACGAUCAGAUACCGUUGUAGUCUUAACAGUAAACGAUGCCGACUAGGGAUCGGACGAGGAUUUUUAAUGACUCGUUCGGCACCUGAAGAGAAAUCUUUAAGUCUAGGUUCGGGGGGGAGUAUGGUCGCAAGGCUGAAACUUAAAGGAAUUGACGGAAGGGCACCACCAGGUGUGGAGCCUGCGGCUUAAUUUGACUCAACACGGGGAAACUCACCAGGUCCAGACACGACAAGGAUUGACAGAUUGAUAGCUCUUUCUUGAUUUCGUGGUUGGUGGUGCAUGGCCGUUCUUAGUUGGUGGAGUGAUUUGUCUGGUUAAUUCCGAUAACGAACGAGACCUUAACCUGCUAAAUAGCCCGGCCGGCUUUGGCUGGUCGCUGGCUUCUUAGAG